AGACUGUUGGACACAAAAGGAUUAGUUCUUCAAGACUUCAGCCUUCUCCUUGGAUCUGAAACAUCUGCAAGACUUCUGGAAAGAUGGCCCUCAUUCAAACCCAAGCUGAUAAAAGAAGGAGCUGCACUUGUACAAACACCAUUGCUCCAACGCCUAUUACAGUCUGCCAGGGAGGAGCAAGUGGAGCCGUCUGUAGACAACUUACAAGGUUGCUACAGUGAUAUGUCCACUUUACUCCUGCUGUUGCACAUCCUGUCACCUCAGCCAGCUGGGAGAAAGAGGAGUCAAAAGAUCAGUGCAAGUCAAGCCAUAGACAACUUGGUCGUUUUUCACAAGUCAUGCCAGAGUCUUGAUGAGCACUUGAAUGAAGAUGAACGUCCGCAGCCAUGUCUGCUAGCUUCGGGAACCUCCAAGCGAGCCAUCAACAACUUCUACAUAGCCAUGGAUAAGAAGCUCAUUCCAUGCCAAGGAAGCACCUCUCUGGCAGCAUUCGACGAGCUUUUCAAGGUUAAUUUUGUUUUCAGUUUGAGUUACGACGAGUCUCUUCGCAGCUUUUUUACAUUCUUGCAGACCACUGUCUACAAUAUCAA